GAUCGGGAGAGACCGCGCAGGCGCGGCGCCGAAGGGGAAAGCAAAAGCUCUCAGGCAAAAGGACCGGUU
rnacentral:ncRNA from 1 species